UGGAGCCCGAGGAACCAGCGGCGCCGGUUAGAGACAAGCCUGUUCCGGACCCCUGAAAGAUGUGGAGAAGUUAAGGAAGAAGGAAACGGAGUCAGCUGACGGUUGCAGUGAGAACAGAGCUCUGCUUGACCUAAUGAGAGCCGUCGCUCUGCAAGUUUCUCUGCUCGAGCAGUUGGUGAGGACCGCCGGUGACAGCUGGUGACAAACUCAGCUUUCUAUCACCAACACGGCCACCGAGAAGCAGGCUCGACUCUCACCGCUAACAUUUGUAACCAUUAACAAAAAGAAUGUUUCAAACUGGAGCUAUAAAUACACUUAGUGACUCUCAGAAAGGAUCUGUUGAUGACAGUGCCUUGCUAAAGUAUUCAUAUCUCUUUUUUUAACGUUUUAAUCACAUUGCAUCCUCAACCUUCAGUGUGAUUUUUUUUAUUUUUUUAUUUUGUGAUGGGGUAAUCCUGUCGUGACAAGCAAUAAAUCAAUUCAUCACACGCUAAAUUAAAAAUGACCUUGAUAAUUUCGACUUGGACAAUAAUCUUUAAAAAGACACUUCCCUUUUAAUAUUGUUGAAAAGCCGCCAUUUUGAAAAACACUGGAAACAUUUGACAUCCACUUUGAAGUAGUUAGUUUGCACUUUUUUUUUCAUAUAAAAAUCCUACCUGGCUCUUUUGUCUGUUUUCCCUGACCAAGAGGACUGAUUAAUAUUUUUUGAAAUGGUUCCAGAUGCUUCAUAAUCUAUUUUAAUUAUUGUUGUCUCAGUUGUUUUGUUUAGUUAUUUUGGAUUUUUAAAAUGUUUUCCAGUCCCAGUGUCAAAUGUUCUUGAUUUUUGAGAUGGUGUUCUAGUAUUAUCAUUAUAUUAGUUGAAAAAUGUUCUCAAAAUGACAUUGUUAUUGUUUAUCACAAUACUUUCUGGCAUAAUUUAUGGUCCAGCAAAAUUUGUUGUCGUGACAGAAAUAUGAUAGGCCAACACAAAAUUGGACAUAAUGGUAAAUGGUAGGGGAAAUGAUGAUUAAGUUCACAAAUGUAUCAAAACCUGAUUGUCCACCAAGACUGAGCAAGGGAAAUAUUAAUCAGAGAAGUCAGAUGAGCCAAUAUAACUCUGCAGGAGCUGCAUUUGUCCAAUCCAUAAAUCUGGGCAUUUUGAAAGAUGGGCAAAAAGACGUCUGUUAAAAAAAAAAAAAAAAAAAA